rnacentral:rRNA from 1 species
GUGAGGAAUAUUGCGCAAUGGAGGCAACUCUGACGCAGCCAUGCCGCGUGCAGGAAGAAGGCGCUACGCGUUGUAAACUGCUUUUAACCGGGAAGAAACCCCAGGACGUGUCCUGGGUUGACGGUACCGGAGGAAUAAGCACCGGCUAACUUCGUGCCAGCAGCCGCGGUAAUACGAAGGGUGCAAGCGUUAUCCGGAUUCAUUGGGUUUAAAGGGUGCGUAGGCGGAGCGUUAAGUCAGUUGUGAAAUCCUGCAGCUCAACUGUAGACUUGCCAUUGAUACUGGCGCUCUUGAGUGCGCUUGAAGUAGGCGGAAUGUGCCGUGUAGCGGUGAAAUGCUUAGAUAUGGCACAGAACACCAAUUGCGAAGGCAGCUUACUAAGGCGAUACUGACGCUGAGGCACGAAAGCGUGGGGAUCAAACAGGAUUAGAAACCCUGGUAGUCC